AAACUCAAAGGAAUUGACGGGGACCCGCACAAGCGGUGGAUGAUGUGGUUAAUUCGAUGCAACGCGAAAAACCUUACCCACCUUUGACAUGGCAGGAAUCCCGAAGAGAUUGGGAGUGCUCGAAAGAGAACCUGCACACAGGUGCUGCAUGGCUGUCGUCAGCUCGUGUCGUGAGAUGUUGGGUUAAGUCCCGCAACGAGCGCAACCCUUGCCAUUAGUUGCUACGAAAGGGCACUCUAAUGGGACUGCCGGUGACAAACCGGAGGAAGGUGGGGAUGACGUCAAGUCCUCAUGGCCCUUAUAGGUGGGGCUACACACGUCAUACAAUGGCCGGUACAGAGGGUAGCCAACCCGCGAGGGGGAGCCAAUCCCACAAAGCCGGUCGUAGUCCGGAUCGCAGUCUGCAACUCGACUGCGUGAAGUCGGAAUCGCUAGUAAUCGCGGAUCAGCACGCCCGCGGUCCGAAUACGUUCCGGGCCUU
rnacentral:rRNA from 1 species